rnacentral:misc_RNA from 1 species
CGUAAUCUCUUCCCACUCUGUAUGUAUUUAUGUACAUAGUCGUAACUAUAUAAUAUAUUCCAAACUUAGCAAAAUUACGAUAAUACCCUUCUUCUCCCCUCGGGAUAUUUUCGUCAAUCACACCUCAACGCAACAUCCUGAUUGCACGUACCCACCGUACUCUUCUGGAACCUUAAUUUUCAUCAUUUUACCAUUUUGCCCCUCUUCCGUCUCCAUCACAUAGAAAUUCUGCGGCGCCCCUUGAUACUCCGAUCCGGUCACCAGAGUCCGGGAUCCGAUUACCAUCCCGCAGGCUCCGACUCUUACCGCCGGCGCCAAUUCCGACCAGUUCGUUAGUUUUCCUUCUUUAUCCAUUCCGACGCAUGCCCGCGGGCACCGCCCUGCCUCCCAUGCCUCUUCCACAACCCGCCACUCGCCGGAAUCGAGGUUGUAAACUUCGGCGCUGGCGUCGAACAUUCCUUGCCGCUCCGUGUCGUAGCCGCUAACCACCCAGAACUCGCGGCCGACCAUCAGCCCUUCGCACUCGUCCCUCCCCUGACUCAUUUGGGGCAACUCAGUCCACUUGUCGGUUCUCAGAUCGUAAACCCAGGCCGAUUUCAAGGCGUUUUUACUCUCGUCGUGGCCACCGGAGAUGUAGAUUCUUCCAUCGGAAGCCCCAAUUGCAAAAAAAGAGCGCUUAGAAGGCAUAUCUUUCCCCUUCCGCCAGGCACAUCGGGUAAAAUCGUAGACGAAAACAUCGACAAUCGGAUCGUAGGUCUCUGGAUCCCAGCCGCCCAUGAGCACCAAUUUUCCUUCGGUACUGGCUAUGUGGCAGAACAAAGGAACGCCGUCUGGGUAUUGUGGAAUCGGAGGGAUUCGGUCCCAGGAUUGACUCAGUGAGUCGAAAACGGUAAGUCCGUAAGCGAGCGAGGUACAGAGCUUCCAUCCGGUGGUGGAGAAGGCGGGGGGAAGGGCCUGAAUGAAGCAGGCGAGAAGGCGGGUGGUGCCUGAUUUUCGGCGGUGGUAAUAGAAAUCGGGGCUGGAGAUGAGUUGAUGCCAACGGCGGCAGACGGCGGAGGCGAGGCGGUGAGUGGUGUAAGGCAAACGAGUGAUGCAGUCGAGACCGAGUUCUUCAGGGAGACCCGGAAUCAACUCGGAGAACUCGAAUUCGAUCAUUUCCAUUGUAUGAG